GUUGUAUGGUUAAGUGACUAAGCGUACACGGUGGAUGCCUUGGCAGUCAGAGGCGAUGAAGGACGUACUAACUUGCGAUAAGCGGUGAUGAGGCAGUAAGAGCCACUUGAGUCACCGAUUUCCGAAUGGGGAAACCCACUUACAUAAGUAAGUAUCGCUGCAUGAAUACAUAGUGCAGCGAAGCGAACCGGGAGAACUGAAACAUCUAAGUACCCCGAGGAAAAGAAAUCAACCGAGAUUCCGAAAGUAGCGGCGAGCGAAAUUGGAUUAGCCCUUAAGCUUUAUAUGCGUUAGACGAAUGGUCUGGAAAGGCCAACGAUACCGGGUGAUAGUCCCGUAGUCAUAGGCGCAUGUUCAGUGAAAUCGAGUAGGGCGGGACACGUGUUAUCCUGUCUGAAUAUGGGGGGACCAUCCUCCAAGGCUAAAUACUCCUGACUGACCGAUAGUGAACCAGUACCGUGAGGGAAAGGCGAAAAGAACCCCUGUGAGGGGAGUGAAAUAGAACCUGAAACCGUGUACGUACAAGCAGUAGGAGCACCUUCGUGGUGUGACUGCGUACCUUUUGUAUAAUGGGUCAGCGACUUAAUGUUAGUAGCAAGGUUAACCGCAUAGGGGAGCCGUAGGGAAACCGAGUCUUAACUGGGCGUAUAGUUGCUAGCAUUAGACCCGAAACCGAGUGAUCUAGCCAUGGGCAGGUUGAAGGUUGAGUAACAUCAACUGGAGGACCGAACCGACUAAUGUUGAAAAAUUAGCGGAUGACUUGUGGCUAGGGGUGAAAGGCCAAUCAAACUCGGAGAUAGCUGGUUCUCCCCGAAAGCUAUUUAGGUAGCGCCUCGGACGAAUACUACUGGGGGUAGAGCACUGUUAAGGCUAGGGGGUCAUCCCGACUUACCAACCCUUUGCAAACUCCGAAUACCAGUAAGUACUAUCCGGGAGACACACGGCGGGUGCUAACGUCCGUCGUGGAGAGGGAAACAACCCAGACCGCCAGCUAAGGUCCCAAAUUACAGCUAAGUGGGAAACGAUGUGGGAAGGCUUAGACAGCUAGGAUGUUGGCUUAGAAGCAGCCAUCAUUUAAAGAAAGCGUAAUAGCUCACUAGUCGAGUCGGCCUGCGCGGAAGAUGUAACGGGGCUAAGUUGUAAACCGAAGCUGCGGCAAUGUUCUUGGAACAUUGGGUAGGGGAGCGUUCUGUAAGCCGUUGAAGGUGUGUUGUAAAGCAUGCUGGAGGUAUCAGAAGUGCGAAUGCUGACAUGAGUAACGACAA
rnacentral:rRNA from 1 species